AGCAAAAAAAAAAAAAAAAAAAAGCUCUGUUGCAAGAAGGGAUCAUCCCAAUCGCCUUCACCUGUGCAGCCCUGAUGAGCCGCCUCGCGCCCCGCCGCCGUCUCCAUGGCAACCGCUGCGCGAGCCUGGGAACCAGCCGAGCGAUCGCACCUGUUUGAGCGCGCGCCUUUCCCGCGCAGCGCCCUCGGACCGCCUCGCGGGCUCCUUUCUGCACGCCCAUCUCGCCCGCUGAUUGGCUGCUCCGAAAACGCGUCCCUCGGAUUGGCUGAGCCGUCUGUCCCUCUCUCCGAGAGGCGGGCACCUUUUAAAAGUCGGCGGGCUCCUCAGGCUGAGGGAAAAAAGCGAAGCGAGCGCGCUGCUAAGGCAGCGGACGCCGCUCUCGCGUCUCUGGGUCCCCGAAAGGGACGAUGCUGCGGGGCGCCGGGGGGUUAAAAUGCCUCUCCCCGGCGCUCCCGCGGCCCAAGCCCUCGAGCUCGAGGCCGGGCAGGGCCUUUUGAGCUUUUGAGGCAUGAAUCCAUAUAGACGAAGAAGAAGACAUCAACAGUAAGAGAGAUGGUUUAAUUCACUCUCCAGUAUAUCAUGAAAGUGUGGAAGCCUGGCAGUUAGUUUGCAACAUGUUUAUUCCUGCAAAAAAGUUUUACAAAGUAUCAAUGGUAGAAAGAGCAGUGGUAGAGCAUUCCACAUACCCACAAGCAUAGCGAUGGUGGUGAUGCCCCCUAGUGGUGGAGGUCUCUCAGUCCCUGAGCUUCCACUCUGUGACACUCACACUGAAUGAGCCGGGGAAGCAAACUGCUACCUGUCUCAUUGAAUCCCUGAGCAAACACUGUGGGGGACUCACACUGGAGGUCCUCUCUGGGGUCAGCCUAGGUGACCCUUUCAGUCCCUGAGCACGCACUGAGGGCGAAUCAACACUGGUAGAGUGAACAGCGUCCACUCCUCCACUGCCUGAGGACCCCCUCAGUGAGACUCAAACUGGAAGGCGAUCCUUUGGGAUCGCCUCACACUUGAAAUGAGGUGUCCUUGGUGCUGUCUGAGCUUGGUGGUUUUCUUGUAGACGUUUCAUUACCAAACUAGGGAACAUCAUUAGUGCUAGUAGAAAGGAGUGUGGUUUGCUGUCAGGUUAUGAUCGAGUGGCUUCUUUCAGUGUUGUUGAAAAUGGUCUUGGAGGUCCUCUGUUGCGCUAUUUGUUGUUAGCUUCUUUGACCGUUCCUUGAUUGCGGUAUUGUUUUCUUGCCAUGGUGAUGGUUUUUAGAACCCAAAAUAAAACCUCAACGGCCAUUUUUAAUAUUAGUUGUGGCUGUUGAUCUAUAAAAGAGGUUAGGGUUUUCUAGCUUUGCAGACUGAGCGGAGGAAGAAUUGCACCACUGCUGCCAAAAGUUCCUCGAAAGAGACAACGCUGGCUGGGCACGACUGAGGAAACAAGAAGAAAGAAACAAAAGCAAAAGAAGAAAAAGAAAGAAGAAAGAAGAAGAGAGCAAGAAAAUGUCUCCAGCUCAAGCCCAUCUUCGGCUGUGAUGUGGCCUCCUACGCUAUGAGGCCUGUUCUCUGCACCACCUUAGAAGACAGAAGACUCAGUCGUCAGCCUGCAGCGUCGAUGGAAGAAGGAGGAACGGAAUGCAAUAAGGAUGGUUAUUAGAACCAAAAAAACAUCCUCAAUGGCUCUUUUAAUGCUAGGCAUGGCUGUUGCUGGAUUAUAGAUUUUAUAGUUUUCUGCCUGGUAUAAAUUUAGCCAUGGCAAUGUUCUUAGAACCAGGAAGAAAACCUCAUUGGCCCUUUUAAAUGACCAGUGUGUGGCCAGUGCUUGGUAACAGAUUUUAGAGCAUUCUUGCCUGCUGUAAAUUUACCCAUGGCAAGGGUUAUUAGAACCAAAAAAACAUCCUCAAUGGCCCUUUUUAAUCCUAGGUGUGGCUGUUGAUGGAUUAUAGAUUUUAUAGUUUUCUGCCUGGUAUAAAUUUAGCCAUGGCAAUGGUUCUUAGAACCAAAAAUAAAACCUCAUUGGCCGUUUUAAAUGAUCAGUGUGGCCAGUGCUUGGUAACAUAUUUUACAGCUUUCUGCUUGGCAUAAACUUAAGCCAUGGCGAUGGUUCUUAGAACCAGAAAGAAAACCUCAAUGGCCCUUUUUAAUGAUAGAUGUGGCCGUUGAUCUAUAGAAGAUUUUAUAGUUUUUGAGUCUUUGAGACUGAGGGGAGGAACACUGGCACACUUGCUGCCAAAUGUUCAUCAAAAGAGACAAGACUUGCUGGGCACAGCAUAAGAAGAAACAGCAAAAGAAGAAAGAAGAGAGCAAGAAAAUGUCUCCAGCUCAAGCCGUGUUUAGCCUUCGGCUGUGAUGUUGCUUUCUACACUAUGAGGCCUGUUCUCUGCACCACCUUAGAAGACAGAAGACUCAGUCGUCAGCCUGCAGCGUUGAUGGAAGAAGGAGGAAUGGACCUUUAGAUGAUAGAUUUUAUACCAUUCUUGCCUGCUGUAAAUUUAGCCAUGGCAAUGGUUAAUAGAACCAAAAAAAACCACCUCAAUGGCCCUUUUUAAUCCUAUUCUUGGCUGUUGAUGGAUUAUAGAUUUUAUAGUUUUCUGCCUGGCAUAAAUUUAGCCAUGGCAAUGGUUCUUAGAACCAGAAAGAAAACCUCAUUGGCCCUUUUAAAUGACCAGUGUGUGGCCAGUGCUUCAUAACAGAUUUUAGAGCAUUCUUGCCUGCUGUAAAUUUAGCCAUGGCAAGGGUUAUUAGAACAAAAAAAAAACAUCCACAAUGGCCCUUUUUAAUCCUAGGCUUGGCUGUUGAUAGAUUGUAGAAUGCUACUUCAUUGUCAGUCAUAACUGACUUUUAGAGGAAUUGCUGAAACUAUAAGAGACUUUUGGUUCUAAGAGAUCUGGCUG